AACAAAAACAUGUCUUUUUGAUAAUAAUUUAAAGUCUGGCCUGCCCAAUGAUUAUUUGAAUGGCUGCGGUAUUUUGACCGUACUAAGGUAGCAUAAUAAUUAGUUUUUUAAUUGAAAGCUGGUAUGAAUGGUUGGACGAGAAAAUAGCUGUCUCAAUUUAAUUUUAAUUAGAAUUUUAUUUUUAAGUAAAAAAGCUUAAAUAAUUUUAAAAGACGAGAAGACCCUAUAGAGUUUUAUAUUUUAUUAUUUUUGUAGGUUUAAAGAAUUUAAUAUUUAAAUGAUAAUAAAAUAUUUUGUUGGGGUGACAAAAAAAUUGAAAUAACUUUUUUUAUAUAAAUUCAUUGAUUUAUGAGUAAGUGAUCCAUUAUUUAUGAUUAAAAGAUUAAAUUACCUUAGGGAUAACAGCGUAAUUUUUUUUGAGAGUUCAAAUCGAAAAAAAAG
rnacentral:rRNA from 1 species